GACUGAAAGUUCUGCUUUAAACCGAACAAAAAUUCUGAUGUUGCAAACACCACGUGAAGUAUUACAAAAGUUUAAAAAGUAAUGUCGAAACUUAGCUAGUAAACGAUGCAGUUUUCCAUUAUUCAUGGCCAUCCAAAGGUGCCCACAGAGAUAAGAUGAAGAUUGCAAAAGACCCUAACUGCUCCACCCGAAAUAAAUGAAGAAAUCAGACUCAGUUUUCAUCAGAAAUUUCACCAUAAUGAUAUGCUUUUAAAACUCUGCCUCUGGCCAAACGAAGCUGUUUAUUCUGAUGUUUGGCUCCCGUUCCACUUCAGACAUGAGUCGGUCUAAUAUUCUCAUUUUGAUGAUCAUCAUCCCUCUAACUUUCUUUCAGGUAAGAAAGAUAAAAUCCUUUUACAAUGAACAAUUUCACUAUUUAUUUCUGUAAGUACCGUCUCAAAUAUUGACAGCACAUGAAUUGUCUGUUUUUCAUUAGGGUAUAUUGGUUCUUGUAAUAAAUGUAAUUUCCUAUGAUUUGGUCUUUACAGUCAGUGAGAGGGAAGGAUGUGUGUGCGAUCUAAAAAAUUCAGACCCUGCUUUCCCUGAUCAAAAACUAAAGAGAGUAGAAGCCAUGUCUGCGGCAAUGCAUUGAGAGCAUCACUUCAGAAAGGAUGACAGACUUGGACCGACUUUUGCUGGGUCUACAGCAACGCAUCAAGCAACUAGAGGACAAUGUGCUCAUGUUGGAAAAGGAGGAUGACAAUAAUCUUUAUGCAGCCGUGUCUCUGCGCAUCAUUGAGUUAGAGUUUGCCGAAAUACAGGACCUCCUCAACAAACUCAACAGGACCACCAACGAUUACCAACUUCUCAAUGUGCAGGUUGCAGGCCAGCUUGAAAAUAUGAAGGACACAAUGGCAGAGCUGGAGAAGUUUGACAACAUGCAGCUGAUAAAGAUGGAUCUUGAGAACCAGCGUGUUAAAAGGGACCUGGAAAAGUGCAAGAAUGAUCUCAAGGUCACAAUACCACCUCCUACAGUUGCCCCAGGUACACUAAAGAUCCCAAUAGUCCCUUAACUCAAGCUUCCAGAGCAUUUUCCAGUAUUAUUCAGCUCAAAUGCUGUAGAUUUUUAGUUCUGUUUUUCUUCUGUGUUUUCAGCACGAUGUGUCUGGGUGAAGUGGUCGGUGUGGUGGGACCAAGAAACGUAUUCUAUCACGGUAUACAGCACCUCCUACCCUUAUGGUGCUUGGGGUCGAGAUGCAAACCCCGCUCCAGGAGACGAGAACAAGUAACUGGCUGGUGGUGCUCACAAGUAGUAAUGUAUAUGGCUACUAUGUCCGUCAGUACAGCACCUUGAGUACUCUUUAUUAGGUAUAGGACCAAAAGAUACAUACAUAUCAAGCUCCAAUCCCACAACAAACACAAUUCAGGGACCAAACAUGGUCAUGUAUGCCAAUGCGCUCUACUAUAACUGUUACUAUACAUACACUGUCUGUCAGUUCAACUUGGCGACUCGUGCUGUCAGUACUGUGGUUUUACCUAGUGAUACAGGUUACAAUAGCAAGUUUCCAUUCGGACACGUCACCAGCUCAUACAGCUAUACUGAUU
rnacentral:lncRNA from 1 species